rnacentral:rRNA from 1 species
UACGUAGGGAGCAAGCGUUGUCCGGAAUCAUUGGGCGUAAAGCGCGCGUAGGCGGCCCGAUAAGUCCGCUGUAAAAGUCAACGGCUCAACCGUUGAAAGCCGGUGGAUACUGUCGGGCUAGAGUACGGAAGAGGCAAGUGGAAUUCCUGGUGUAGCGGUGGAAUGCGCAGAUAUCAGGAGGAACACCCAUAGCGAAGGCAGCUUGCUGGGACGUUACUGACGCUAAGGCGCGAAAGCGUGGGGAGCGAACAGG